GUAAUGUCUGGGAAACUGCCUGAUGGAGGGGGAUAACUACUGGAAACGGUAGCUAAUACCGCAUAACGUCGCAAGACCAAANAGGGGGACCUUCGGGCCUCUUGCCAUCGGAUGUGCCCAGAUGGGAUUAGCUAGUAGGUGGGGUAACGGCUCACCUAGGCGACGAUCCCUAGCUGGUCUGAGAGGAUGACCAGCCACACUGGAACUGAGACACGGUCCAGACUCCUACGGGAGGCAGCAUG
rnacentral:rRNA from 1 species